CUUCUACUUACUUCUUCGUAGAAUGCAAUUAGGUUAGUUUGACAUGACCUAUGUUUCAUAAAACCAUGCUGAUUAUUGCUAAUAAGUUCUUCCCAAUGAAUUCCUGAAUAUUAUCCCUUAAUAGCCCUUCAAAUAUUUUCCCAGUUACAGAAGUUAAGCUCACAGGUCUAUAAUUUCCAGGCAAGGAUUUUGAACCCUUUUUAAAUAUAGGAACAACAUCUGCCUUCCUCCAAUCCUCCGG